UACGUAGGGUGCAAGCGUUAAUCGGAAUUACUGGGCGUAAAGCGUGCGCAGGCGGUUUGCUAAGACCGAUGUGAAAUCCCCGGGCUCAACCUGGGAACUGCAUUGGUGACUGGCAGGCUAGAGUAUGGCAGAGGGGGGUAGAAUUCCACGUGUAGCAGUGAAAUGCGUAGAGAUGUGGAGGAAUACCGAUGGCGAAGGCAGCCCCCUGGGCCAAUACUGACGCUCAUGCACGAAAGCGUGGGGAGCAAACAGGAUUAGAUACCCUGGUAGUCCACGCCCUAAACGAUGUCAACUAGUUGUUGGGGAUUCAUUUCCUUAGUAACGUAGCUAACGCGUGAAGUUGACCGCCUGGGGAGUACGGUCGCAAGAUUAAA
rnacentral:rRNA from 1 species